ensembl:lncRNA
AAAGAGACAGCGGCCGUCCGGAAUACUACUUUCUUGGCAGACGCGUCUGGCGCAUGUCUAUUGGAAACAGCGCGAGAUAAAUCACCGCGUGCGCAGGGAAGAACGAAACUCAGCGCUGGUGACGUUGAACACACAUCAGGGAUGAGCAGAGAGCGUCUGAUGAAUCCAAUGAAUCCAGGAGCACUGGGGGCCAUCUGAGAUAAGAAGAGCAUCUUCCACAUCCAGCCUCAUCAACAGAAUGGCGGAGGCCGUCCGUUUCCCAGAAGGCCUCUGGUCUCCGGGG